rnacentral:rRNA from 1 species
UUAACUUUAUCACCUCACUCGUUUGCGGAUUUCUUGGCAUCCCAGGGGCUGCGGCAUUAAUUGUAAUCGACCAAUAUAUUUUGUAAGGAUCCGUUUAGCUAAAAUAGAAUUGAGAAGGCAUCGUCUAGCCAAAAUGCCUUUUCAUUUUUUUUUGUUAAAAACUAUUGACUUUUACAUACAUAUCAAGUAUAUUAAUAAACGUCGCUGAUAAAAAUAAAAAACAUAUUGACAGCGAAAUGAAUGGUGAGUAUAAUAAUAAAAGUGUGCAACACCAAUUCUAAAGUUCCUUGAAAACUAAACAAAACACAAGCGUCAUAAGAAAAGCUGAGGUCGCUUGCUUAUCGGCGAAACGCGCUGAGAGGCCCGCGAGGAGGCUGUUGCCGCCGCAGCGGGACACGAAGCGUCGCGAGCCGAUAGCGGCCGAAGCUAGACAAUACGAAAAGCUGAGGCUCACAGUACUUUGGUGCUGGAGCUGAAGUGCAAGCCAAUCAACUUUCUUUUGGAGAGUUUGAUCCUGGCUCAGGACGAACGCUG